CCAACAUCUGUGGAAUUUAGUAUUGCCAGAAUUUCAAAAUGGUUAAGUAUGUCUUUGGCAGACAAAACCUGGCAUGCUUACAUCGCAAGCUGGAAUGAGUGGAUGAAGUUCAAAACAAGUUUUCCCAAAGAUCAUUAUCAAGGGGACAGUGACGUCUUAUUGUCUUUUGUACUGGAGCAAGUUGAGGCUCAGUACUCUCUUUCAGCUAUAACAAAAAAGUUAGCAGGCAUAUCCUUCUUUUUAAAGGUUCAAGGUGAGGCAGACAUAACUAAAUCCUUUUUGGUCAAACAAAUCCUUCGGGGUGUUGGUAGGAUUACACAAUCUGUUGACAUUAGGAGACCCAUCACAUUAUCAUUGUUGAAAGAUUUAGUUUCGGUCCUACCUCAAAUAUGCUAUUCUCAGUUUGAAGCAAUGUUAUUUACUUUGUUAUUUUCGGUGUCUUUCUUUGGUGCCCUUCGGGUAAGUGAGUCGGUCUCUCAUAGUAAGAGAUCCCCAGGGGGUAUUGGGAGUGAAGACAUUCAUCUGGUUGAGGGCAAAUUAAAAAUUAUAUUAAAAAAAUCAAAAACGGAUAAAGUGGGAAGAGGGACAACCCUUUGGCUUGGUAAUAGCACGGAACAGUCAAUAUGCCCAGUAUUAGCUUUUAGCCAUUAUCAGCAAGUCAGACCCUGCCUUCCUGGCCCUUUCUUUAUACACAGUGAUGGCUCUUUUGUUACAAGAUUUAAAUUUGUGAAAAUUCUAAAAGGAGCUGUCAGUAAGUUAGGUAUACCACCUGACCAUUAUAACACACAUUCUUUCCGCAUUGGAGCUGCCACACAAGCCUCAUUGAUGGGUUUAGGAGAAGAGUUCAUCAAAAGGCUUGGCAGAUGGAACUCUUCUAGGUAUCAACUUUAUGUUAGACCUACCCUUGUUUAGUAAGUCUUAUCUUUUUUCGUUACAGUUUCUCCUCCUUUGGUCUGGAUUAUUGGACACUCUUUUGUCCACAGAGCAAGAGCUAUAGCAGAACAGCGAACCUACACAACUAAUUUAGGUAUUAAAGAUGUUAGAAUUGUUUGGAUGGGCAUUCGAGGCCUUAAAUGGCCAGAUUUAUUGCCAAUAAUUUUGCAAAUGAAAUCUCGUUGGGGUUUCCCAGCAAUUAUUCUGAUCCAUCUAGCUGGAAAUGACAUUGGAAAGGGUAGAAACAUUGAUUUAAUUCGUAAUAUAAAAAGAGACCUUGCUCAGAUCAGAUUUAUUUUUCCCAAUACUGUGAUAAUUUGGUCGGAAGUUGUGCCCAGAUUAGUCUGGCUUCAAGAUGCAGGCUUUCACCCCCUUGAGAGAUGCCGUAAAAAACUUAAUUUUGCUAUCUCAAAAUUUUCCAAGACAGUUAAUAUUUUGGUUUAUAGGCACUACGAGUUGGAACAAGGUUUUGAAGGCCUGUAUCACGCGGACAGGGUAAAUUUGUCAGAUAUCGGUUUUGACAUUCUGAACAUGGGAUUCCAAAGUGCAAUAGAGAGAGCUUUACAUGUGUGGGGAAUGGCCAAGGCCAAUGUAAUGGUUUAAUUGGCCUUGACGUGGAGGUAUGCUCCUGGCUAGGUGGUAAAUUGGCGGGGCUUAAGGAUAUUUGUUGUUAAUCUUUAAGGCGGUCCGCUGCAGAGAUCUGAUGCAGAGGCUGGCUGGGAAUAUAUGUAUGAGCAGGUAUUAGUAUCAUUAGCAAUGGUUAA